rnacentral:rRNA from 1 species
AGGGGGCAAGCGUUGUCCGGAUUUAUUGGGCGUAAAGAGCGUGUAGGCGGCCAAAUAGGUCGGUUGUGAAAACUGGAUGGCUCAACCUCCAGACGUCGACCGAAACCAUCUGGCUAGAGUCCGGAAGAGGAGAAUGGAAUUCCUGGUGUAGCGGUGAAAUGCGCAGAUAUCAGGAAGAACACCCGUGGCGAAGGCGGUUCUCUGGGACGGUACUGACGCUGAGACGCGAAAGCGUGGGGAGCGAACAGGAUUAGAUACCCUGGUAGUCCACGCCGUAAACGAUGGGUGCUAGGUGUGGGGGGUGUCGACUCCCCCCGUGCCGAAGCUAACGCAUUAAGCACCCCGCCUGGGGAGUACGGCCGCAAGGCUA